UACGGGGGGGGGCAAGCGUUGUUCGGAAUUACUGGGCGUAAAGGGCCCGUAGGUGGCCAACUAAGUCAGACGUGAAAUCCCUCGGCUUAACCGGGGAACUGCGUCUGAUACUGGAUGGCUUGAGUUCGGGAGAGGGAUGCGGAAUUCCAGGUGUAGCGGUGAAAUGCGUAGAUAUCUGGAGGAACACCGGUGGCGAAGGCGCCACUCUGGGCCGAAACUGACGCUGAGGAGCGAAAGCGUGGGUAGCAAACAGG
rnacentral:rRNA from 1 species